AACUGCACAAUGCUGGAAACAGCGAUGCGGGAACACCAAGUGCCGCGACAAAGUCGCGGCUGUUCCAUUGUCUAAAAAACAUAGGAAGUAAGGGCUGGGUAAGACGGGUGCCAGCCGCCGCGGUAAUACCUGCAGCCCGAGUGGUGGCCGUUAUUAUUGGGCCUAAAACGUCCGUAGCCUGUUUGGUAGAUGCCUGUGUAAAUCGAACGGCUCAACCGUUCGAACUGCGGGUAGACCGCCAGACUUGGGACCGGGAGAGUCACGAAGUACUCCGGGGGUAGAGGUGAAAUUCUGUAAUCCUCGGGGGACUACCGGUGGCGAAGGCGUCGUGAUAGAACGGCUCCGACGGUGAGGGACGAAGCCCUGGGGCGCAAACCGGAUUAGAUACCCGGGUAGUCCAGGGUGUAAACGCUGCGGUCUUGGUGUCGGGAAUCCUACGGGGGUACUCGGUGCCGGAGAGAAGUUGUUAAGACCGCCGCCUGGGUAGUACGGUCGCAAGACUGAAACUUAA
rnacentral:rRNA from 1 species